rnacentral:rRNA from 1 species
AACGAACGCUGGCGGCGCGCCUAAUACAUGCAAGUCGAACGAGAAGCUGUAGCAAUACAGUUGUACAGUGGCGAACGGGUGAGGAAUACAUGGGUGACCUACCCUCGAGUGGGGAAUAACCAGCCGAAAGGUUGGCUAAUACCGCGUACGUUUCCCAGUCUGCGGGUUGGGAAGGAAAGCGAUGCCGUGGGUAUCGCGCUCAAGGUUGGGCUCAUGUCCUAUCAGCUUGNGGUGGGGUAACGGCUCACCAAGGCAACGACGGGUAGCUGGUCUGAGAGGACGAUCAGCCACACUGGCACUGCGACACGGGCCACGACCCCGUACGGGAGGCANCAGUAAGGAAUAUUGCGCAAUGGGCGAAACGCCUGACGCAGCGACCGCCG